GACGAACGCUGGCGGCGUGCCUAAUACAUGCAAGUAGAACGCAGUUGCGAACGGGUGAGUAAAGCGUAGGUAACUGCCUCAUAGCGGGGGAUAACUAUUUGAAACGAUAGCUAAUACCGCAUACUGUGAGAUGGACCUGCGUUGUAUUAGCUAGUUGGUGUGGGAAAGGCUCACCAAGGCGACGAUAAAUAGCCGACCUGAGAGGGUGAUCGGCCACACUGUGACUGAGAAACGCCCCAGACUCCUACGUGAGGAAGCUAUAGGGAGGCUUCGGCAAUGGACGGACGUCUGACCGAGCAACGCGGAGUGAGUGAAGAAGGUUUUCGGAUCGUAGAGGUCUGUUGUUAGAGACGCGGGAACUAACCAGAAUGGGACGGCUAACUACGUGUCAGCGGCCGCGGUAAUUC
rnacentral:rRNA from 1 species